rnacentral:rRNA from 1 species
CAGUAGCGCGGUAAUACGGAGGGUGCAAGCGUUAAUCGGAAUUACUGGGCGUAAAGCGCACGCAGGCGGUCUGACAAGUCAGAUGUGAAAUCCCCGGGCUUAACCUGGGAACUGCAUUUGAAACUGUCAGGCUGGAGUCUUGUAGAGGGGGGUGGAAUUCCAGGUGUAGCGGUGAAAUGCGUAGAGAUCUGGAGGAAUACCGGUGGCGAAGGCGGCCCCCUGGACAAAGACUGACGCUCAGGUGCGAAAGCGUGGGGAGCAAACAGGAUUAGAUACCCGCGUAGUCCCUGUCUCUUAUACA